rnacentral:rRNA from 1 species
AUGCUUAUAGGGAUGGGAAGAACAUGUGUGUUUGUUCAUCAUGGGGACAAAGACGCAUUCUUGAAAGGCAAUAUUGAACCUGACCCGGAUGAGCUUGACAUGGUGUUUGAUAGUAGUCCUAGCUAUGCGAAGCUCUUGCAACAAGUGAGGAAAGAUUUAAAUUGGAUGGACCCUAGUGAUAUCGUUGAGUUGGAGGGAAGGCAUAAUGUAGGUUUUGGAAUGCACAUCCGUUGGAAGACAAUGCGUGUCAACUCGAAGCAACGUUGGGUUGCAUACAAGGAAACGGUGGCCGAAUCACUUGACAAGGCUCUUGAGUUAUUUGCAACGAAGAAGGUUGAUUCAAGUUUGCAUUUGGACUUGAACCGGAACCCCUCCCCUUUGGUUGAUAGUAGCCCCCCACCCUUGAAGCGAGAUGAAAUUGUUGAACCUCUUUUGACCCAAGAAGUGGGGCCAACAUUGAGUCCGUUUACAAACAACCAAGAUGAAGCUUUGCAAGAGGACAAUGAUGAGUAUGCGGACGAUGACAAUGAAGUUGAUCUCCAUGACAACAAUGUGGGUGAUCUCGACAAAUAUCAUUUGCAAGAGACAAUGGACCAUUCCAUCCCUUUUUCCCGUGCAUAUGCAUCGGACUCGGAUGACGAUGGUCCCGAUGAACAAGUUGAUGCGGAGGGGUUCACGGUGAAGGAGGCCGAAGCUUUCGAGAAGGUAUUCGGUCGGGAUCAUUGGACUACAUUGUUCAAGGAUGUUAGUCUCGCGUAUGAAGCCGUGGUAGAUGGUGGCCAAUGUGUAUCUCUUGGGGUUAGGCCAAGCUCUCACCGUGAUUUGGGAGACGACAAGAACCGGAUUGCUAAAGGGUCUAAGUUCGAAACCUUGUUGGAAUUGAAGAUGUGGCUCGACAACUACUCGGUUACGCAUUAUCGUCCACACAAGGUGGUGAACUCGGACGUCAAUGUGCGCUACACGGUUGCAUGUGCAAGUGAAGAUGAAAUAUGUCCGUGGAUUGUGCGUGCAAGACCAUGGAAAGGAGGUCCAACUUGGCAUGUAGUGAGUUGUGUGCCAACUCACAUGUGCCAAGGAAAAAGGGUGGAUGGCAAGAUCGUGUCCCAAGACCACAAACAACUCACGUCCGAGUUCAUCGCUUACAGGCUCUCUCCAACUCAAUAUCCACACUUCCAACAAUGA